rnacentral:rRNA from 1 species
GAUGAACGCUAGCUACAGGCUUAACACAUGCAAGUCGAGCGACCGGCGCACGGGUGAGUAACGCGUCUCCAACCUGCCCAUAAGUAGGGAUAACCCGCAGAAAGCGGACUAAUCCCCUAUGCUUAUGAUGGGGAUGCGUCCGAUUAGGUUGUUGGUGCGGUAACGGCCCACCAAGGCUCGAUCGGUAGGGGUUCUGGGAGGAAGGCCCCGCACAAAGGAAAUGGGACACGGUCCUAAACUCUACGGGAGGGAGCAGGGGGGAAUAUUGGUCAAUGGGCGAGAGCCUGAACCAGCCAAGUAGCGGGCAGGAAGACGGCCUAUGGGUUGUAAAGCACUUUAAGCGGGGAGCGUUACCAGCAGAAGAAGCACCGGCUAACUCCGUGCCAGCAGCCGCGGUAAUUC